AUUGAACGCUGGCGGCAGGCUUAACACAUGCAAGUCGAGCGGGGUGAUGGUGCUUGCACUAUCACUUAGCGGCGGACGGGUGAGUAAUGCUUAGGAAUCUGCCUAUUAGUGGGGGACAACAUCUCGAAAGGGAUGCUAAUACCGCAUACGUCCUACGGGAGAAAGCAGGGGAUCACUUGUGACCUUGCGCUAAUAGAUGAGCCUAAGUCGGAUAGCUAGUUGGUGGGGUAAAGGCCUACCAAGGCGACGAUCUGUAGCGGGUCUGAGAGGAUGAUCCGCCACACGGGGACUAGAACACGGCCCAGACUCCUACGGGAGGCAGCAGGAGGGAAUAUUGGACAAGGGGGGGAAUCCUGAUCCAGCCCUGCCGCGUGUGUGAAGAAGGCCUUAUGGUUGUAAAGCACUUUAAGCCAGGAGGAGGCUCUUUUGGUUAAUACCCAAGAUGAGUGGACGUUACUCGCAGAAUAAGCACCGGCUAACUCUGUGACAGCCGCCGCCGUAA
rnacentral:rRNA from 1 species